UUCCUGAUCCUAAGAGCUGCAGCCGCACUUCUGCUAGGGUUUUGCUUCCUCACUGUUUCAAGUUCGCUCAAGCCGUUCCUACUCCACCUCGUUAGUUCACUCGUAGAGCUGCAGUAUCCGUCGUCCUGCCGUCAAGGCUUCUAUUGACCCUUUUUACAGAUGGGCGAGAUUCUCGUGGUCAGCAAGGGAAUGGAGAUUCUGCUGCCUAGUCCGCGUGGAUUGGACUAUAGCUUCCUUUGGACUUUUCUUUAGGGCUAUGGCCCCUGUAUUUCGUUGUUACUGGAUUGUAAACUUUUAGUUAAACCGUUAUCCUGC